ensembl:lincRNA
GUCCUGGGGCAGGCGGAGCUCCCCCGCAGAGAGAGCAGCAGUCCUGCCGAGGAAUCGAGCACGUCGCCCUGCUAGAAGCCAGCAGCUGCACUCGGGAGCGGCGCUGAAGGAGUUAACCGGCGGCGCGCCCCCGGGGUCCGAGCUCCCCCGAACGACGAGCUGGGGGCGCGCCCCCCCCCCACUAUUAAAUCCAGCGCGUUAUUAUUUAUCGCACAGCAGCUGUAGCGCAACAGCGCAGGAGGGGGACAGGCUGGCCGCGGCGCAGAGCCAGGAGGCAGGGACACAGGCCGGGACCGAGGCGCCAUGCCGGGUCUGGGGAGGGCCCAGUCCAGUGCCCGUGGGGCAGGCAGACACCAGGGGGCCGCCGAGCCACUCGCUGCCUCCAGCCCCGCUCCGAAGGUGCUUCGGCGGCACCAGGUCUCGACAGGCAGCCCGGUGAGGGACAGCGCCUCCUGCAGGAGAGGACAGCCCUGGUCACAGCUGCUCCCGUCACAGGGAGAAACGGGCCUGGCGCCGCCGGACCACGGAGAAACGGGCCUGGCGCUGCCGGACCAGGGAGAAACGGGCCUGGCGCCGCCGGACCAGGGAUCCAGUUUUCGGUCCGCUGUGAGACUGGCCUGUCCCCCCCCAACUUGCACUUCGGGGUUCCUGGAUGCAGGAACACCAGCUGUAAGCCUGACUGGUCAAGAUCUCGCUGAGCGCCAUCUUACAUUCAACCCCUCUUGGCCAAUCCGGCGGCGCUCGCGAGCUCUCGCGAGGCAGGCUCGAGCAAUUACCGCGAGACACGACCGCGCAGCCCGUCUCGCCUUAAAGGGGACACGCGCCCUCCCUUUCUGCCGGGCGGGCCGCCGCCGCGUCUCCGGGGCAACCGCCGCGACCCGCGCCUGAUGGGAACAGGGAAGAGUCACCUUCGAUACGUGACCGGGGCCACAGAAAUUCCAGUAGGGCCGUAUGGACUGGGAGAGACCGGGAGGCAGUGUGGGAUUGAGAGACAGGGAAGCUAAGGGAGGCAGAGGGAGUCCGGGUGGGACAGUGGUUAGAGCUGAGAGAGACAAACAUUCUUCCACAAAUUUACAAACCUAAUCCCAGAAUUCCCACACCUGCCAGAAUCACAACGGGUCCCAAUCCUACUGGGAGAGGGACAAGGGAACUCAGCUGAACUGGCAGCCCAGUAUGCGAUCUCCUAUCCCAGCCUGAGGAACAGUGAGCCUGCCUGCCAAUAAUGCUCCAUAUGUUUGUAUGUAAAUGUAUUAUGACGUGUUUAUAUUGCAAAAGUCUGUAGAUGUUAUGUAAUUGUAUAUGUUUUGGCAACACUGAUUUGUCAUGCCAAUAAAGCUUCUUGAAUUGAAUUGAGAGAGGCAGUGUGGGGCAGUGGGCAGAGCUGAGAGAGAGGGAGGCAGUGUGGGACAGUGGGUAGAGCUGAGAGAGAGAGGGAGGGAGGCAGUGUGGGACAGUGAGUAGAGCUGAGAGAGAGGGAGGCAGUGUGGGACAGUGGGUAGAGCUGAGAGAGAGGGAGGCAGUGUGGGACAGUGGGUAGAGCUGAGAGAGAGGGAGGCAGUGUGGGGCAGUGGGUAGAGCUGAGAGAGAG